GGGCUCUCUGCGGUUCUUCCUUCCUGUAGAAUUUCCGGUCUGGUCACACUCAUUCAGCAACAGCAGCACCACCACCACCACCAGCAGCAGCGGACAGCCCUGAGGAGGUAUUAGACCCUCCAUGCUGUCUUAAACCUUGCAUGCUUUUUGUCUGUUUUCCUGCCACUUCUAAGCCUGACUGUUGUCAGGGUCGGUGGCUUACAUCCAUUGUUAGCCCAGGGUCCCUCCUCUUAACUGACUGCUGGCUGGCCCUAGUCAGACCUACAGUUUGAUGCUGAGUGGCCUCUCUUCCGGUAUUAGUGGGGAGAAUAUCCUGCCUCACUGGAGUCCCCCACCCCCAGCGACUGAGAAUUCAUGCAGCUUGCCCAGUGGCUCCAGAGGCCAAGUCUCUCUCAUGUCUUUGGUGGGUGCUGGGGAUUGGGAUGCACAGGACAGUGUAAGAGUAGAAAUGCCUGUGCUGAGAAAGGCGUUUGCUGGCAUCAAGGGGAGGGGGAAACUGAAAGCAACCAGGGAGGAGGAGGGGAGAAGGGGGGUGCAGGCUGUGAGAAGAUGGUCAAUGCCCGCCGGCAGGGCUUUGCCAUGUGUGAAUGGAUCUGGAGGUUGGAACAGCUAGAAUGGAGCUGAGAGCUGAAGAGAAUGUACAGAGUGAAGCAUCCGAGCAUCUCUGAAGGGAGAGGGAGGCAUGAUGGGGCUGUGCAACUCCACAGGGUGCCACGGAGGAGAAAGAGGAAGAGGAGGAGGAAGAGCAGGAGGAGGAGGAAUGUAUUGGGUCUUGGUAGCAGGGAGAUGCGGCCGGGAGAUGAAAGCCAUCCAUUUGGACCAUUGUAGCUCAUACUAGGCAACCUGAUGGAGACCUCCAUCUACCUCCACUUUUUCUUCUGUGCAGCAUGGGGCCUGCUGGGACUCGUCUCCUGCUAUGCUUCAGCUCCUGCCCAAUCACUUACCUGUGCCAGGAGAAGCCUCUGGACAUGCCUGGGCAGCCUCUGGACAUGCACUGCUCCCAUUCCUCGCUGAGAGGGCAUCUCCCCGAGUGCCUCUCCAUCCCAGUAGACUCUCCAGAUGUGCCCAGUCCUCAACUGGUGUGGCCUCACCAGAGAGACUCAGACCAAACAGGCCUCCACAGCCUCUCUCUAGACACUUUCUGGGAAACCACAGUGGAAUACAAAAGGGCACCAACUGUUCUGAUCUCUUGAAGAGCUCCUCAGGCAACCUUCUGUUUCUAGCAAGAUGAUACACCCAAGCCUUGAUGACAAGGCUUGGCUCUCAACCUCCUUGCUCCCCACCUCCUGUGAAAUACACAAAGAAAUUCAGUGAUCAUCGGGGAUGCUCUGGUCCAAACACUACCUGCCAGCCAGACGCAGGAGAUGGAUGGCUCAGCAGUAAUCGUGCUGCUUGAGCUUGGUGUCUAAUGGGGACAGUAGUGACAGGAAGUUCACAGGGACUGGAAGACAUGAGUUCUCUGAGGGAAAGGAAGGUGAAGCCUGGUGCUUAGGACCCUCAGGAGACCAUAGGAUGUGAGAAGGCUCAAGACACCCAGAGGUGGGGUCAGAAACAGGGCAAAGGAGACCAAGCAUGGGAGAGCUGCAGUGGACGUGUACAGACAGGAGAAGCAGGCCCUAAAGAAUCCCUGAGGCGGCAGAGAGGCUGGGCUGUGGAACUUUUUAAUUACUUUGCAUUAGGGGACUGUAGAGACCCAGAAGCCCACCCUUCCCCUCCCCUCAUCAGCUUAGCCCCAACAUAUGGUGGCUACCAAAGUAGUUAAAUCGGCUCUUGGUAGAAAAGGAAAGAGAUUCCUCCCAGGCUCUUCCCAGGGUCCACGGCCACACUCCAGGAGGGCUCAACUCCAGGGCAAGGCAGCUGGGACAGCAGGCAGCUGAAGGAGGACUAUUACUGCACCUUAGGGAAGAGUGCAGUGGCGAGUGGGGAGGACUCUGCUGGGACCCGGGGGUCAUGUGCAUUCCCAUUUAGUUGAGCUCUGCUUAAUCCGGGCCUAGGCUCACAGUAAUGGGGAACGAGGAGAGGCUCCCAUCAGAGACCAAGAAGAUGACAGACUCUCUGUAAAGGCUGUCAGAGGGGUCUGCAUGACCAACCACACCUGCUCCUGUUCCUUUGGGGCUCUUGUGACCUCCCUGUCUUCUUGUGAGAUCUUAUGUUCCUCCAACCCUGAGAGCUACAAACCAAUCUCCGGAAUAAAAAAAUCUGUCCCUCGUGCUGUCAGCGUG
rnacentral:lncRNA from 1 species